UACAGAGGUGGCAAGCGUUGUUCGGAAUUACUGGGCGUAAAGGGCGCGUAGGCGGCCUUCUAAGUCAGACGUGAAAUCCCCAGGCUUAACUUGGGAACUGCAUUCGAGACUGCAUUGCUAGAGUAUGGGAGAGGGAAGUGGAAUUUCCGGUGUAGCGGUGAAAUGCGUAGAUAUCGGAAGGAACAUCAGUGGCGAAAGCGACUUCCUGGACCAAUACUGACGCUCAUGUGCGAAAGCGUGGGGAGCAAACCAGG
rnacentral:rRNA from 1 species